CAAGACUAUGAGGACUUAGUGUCCAAAGCGGACAGCCACAGCAAGAAUCCUGUUAUGAGGACAUAUACAUUGUCCUGAACUAGGCUUGAGUCCGCUUUGCUGCUUGACUACGCUCUUCGCUGUCUUGUGGUGAUGUCUGAGGUUUUAGUUCAGCGUUUUAUCCACUUCAUCCCCGACUCAAUCCCAGAGCCUCUUCGCUUUCCUGUGGCAUCGUCUGACGGUUUUAGUUCAGCGUUUUAUCCACUUCUUCCCCGACUCAAUCCCAGAGCCGAAAGGCUGUCCUGCUUCGAUGCUUCAAUGCUUUAGAAGCACUCGUUUCAACUCCGUUUUAUCCAAUCCAAGAGCAGCCCAAGAUGGUCAUGAUUCAUGCUUCUCCUUACAAGCUUCUUCAGAAUUAUAAAGUACACUAUGUUCCUGGUUGGGAUUGCCAUGGCCUACCAAUUGAACUAAAAGACAUGUACUUUUAAGUUAUAUCUGUAUACUUCAGUUAUAUGUGGAGCACAACCUUGUAUUUGUGUAUGUGAAAUACUUCUGACUAGUGACACGCAUUCAUUUA